CCUACGGGUGACAGCAGUGGGGAAUAUUGCACAAUGGGGGAAACCCUGAUGCAGCGACGCCGCGUGAGUGAAGAAGUAAUUCGUUACGUAAAGCUCUAUCAGCAGGGAAGAAACACUGACCUUACGGUCAGCAGACGGUACCUGAGUAAGAAGCCCCGGCUAACUACGUGCCAGCAGCCGCGGUAAUACGUAGGGGGCAAGCGUUAUCCGGAUUUACUGGGUGUAAAGGGAGCGUAGACGGCCAGACAAGUCAGAAGUGAAAGCCCAGGGCUCAACCCUGGGACUGCUUUUGAAACUGCCGGGCUUGAGUGCAGGAGAGGUAAGCGGAAUUCCUAGUGUAGCGGUGAAAUGCGUAGAUAUUAGGAGGAACACCAGUGGCGAAGGCGGCUUACUGGACUGUAACUGACGUUGAGGCUCGAAAGCGUGGGGAGCAAACAGGAUUAGAUACCCGAGUAGUC
rnacentral:rRNA from 1 species